rnacentral:rRNA from 1 species
UUUGUGGACAGGGCAAUGUGGUGUUUAGGCAUGCGCCUUGGAAUUGCUCGUCUACUCGAAGUCCAACUCCGAUUAUGGCAUUGGAUUUGUUCCGAAGAGGGUGAGAGACCCGUACGAGUAGACAUUCAUGCAUAUUGAGCAGUUCUUCGAUGCGUGUGUCAUGGAGUCGGAUUGCUUGAGAAUGCAGUCCAAAGUGGGUGGUAAACUCCAUCCAAGGCUAAAUACUGGCACGAGUCCGAUAGUAAACAAGUACCGUGAGGGAAAGUUGAAAAGUACUCUGAAGAGAGAGUAAAUAGUACGUGAAGCCGCCUGUAGAGAAGCUGGUGGAGUCAAGCUUUUGGCCUGUCUGAUUAAGUGCGAGAAAUUCUCUUGUUUUCGGUUUCACUAGCUGGUUGAUCUGGAAAUGUUCAGGCGGAAUUUACCCGUCUUGAGUGUUCCGGUGAGUGCGCUUUUGCCAGUUAGAUGAAGCUGUUUCUUGCAUUCUAUCAUCAGGCUUUUAUCACAGCUGAUGUGCCCUCGGUGCAUGAUUAUCAAACUAUGCUUAUGUGGGUUUCCAACUUGCUAAGUAUAGGAUGGCAGAAGGUGUGCUGGUUUGGCUUGCCCAGAUUAUGUGCACGUAUAAAGAAUUCUUCGGCCGGUGGUCAUGUUUGCUUUACUGUUGGUGCAUAUCAUGGAACUCGAGAUCGUGUCCAUAUCAAUUGGUAGCGGUCUUUAAGAGCUGUGGUGUUGAAGUAGAUUUUCCACCCGACCCGUCUUGAAACACGGACCAAGGAGUUUAACAUGUGCGCAAGUCAAUGGGCUUAUAUGAAACCCAGAGGCGAAAUGAAAGUAAAUGGUUACCUGUCGUGGCCUUAGGUGUGAUCUUGGUCGACCCUUACAAAGGCGGCUGAGCGCAACACCGGCCCGUCUCAACAUGUUGUCGCUUGGGCUACGGCGUCGAGCGCUUCAUGGAGGCGGAGCAAGAGCGUACAUGUUGAGACCCGAAAGAUGGUGAACUAUGCUUGCGUAGGUCGAAGCCAGAGGAAACUCUGGUGGAGGACCGUCGCGGUUUUGACGUGCAAAUCGAUCGUCAAACGUGAGCAUAGGGGCGAAAGACUAAUCGAACCAUCUAGUAGCUGGUUCCCUCCGAAGUUUCCCUCAGGAUAGCUGGCAAUCUCUUCGCUAAACAGUUUUAUCCGAUAAAGCGAAUGAUUAGAGGUAUUGGGGACUAAGCGUUCUCAACCUAUUCUCAAACUAUAAAUGGGUACGAUGCUUCACUCGCUUAAUUGGAGUGUUGCAUUGAAUGUGAUUGCCAAGUGGGCCAUUUUUGGUAAGCAGAACUGGCGCUGUGGGAUGCUCCGAACGUUCAGUUAAGGUGCCCAAUACAGACGCUCAUGAGACACCAAAAAAGGUGUUAAUGCAUAUAGACAGCAGGACGGUGGCCAUGAAA